UACGGGAGGCAGCAGUAGGGAAUCUUCCGCAAUGGGCGAAAGCCUGACGGAGCAACGCCGCGUGAGUGAAGAAGGUCUUCGGAUCGUAAAACUCUGUUAUUAGGGAAGAACAAAUGUGUAAGUAACUAUGCACGUCUUGACGGUACCUAAUCAGAAAGCCACGGCUAACUACGUGCCAGCAGCCGCGGUAAUACGUAGGUGGCAAGCGUUAUCCGGGAAUUAUUGGGCGUAAAGCGCGCGUAGGCGGUUUUUUUAAAGUCUGAUGUGAAAGCCCACGGCUCAACCGUGAGGGUCAUUGGAAACUGGAAACUUGAGUGCAGAAGAGGAAAGUGGAAUUCCAUGUGUAGCGGUGAAAUGCGCAGAGAUAUGGAGGAACACCAGUGGCGAAGGCGACUUUUCUGGGUCUGUAACUGACGCUGAUGUGCGAAAGCGUGGGGAUCAAACGAGGAUUAGGAUACC
rnacentral:rRNA from 1 species